rnacentral:rRNA from 1 species
GACGAACCGUGCGAACGUUGUUCGGAAUCACUGGGCUUAAAGGGCGCGUAGGCGGGCCACCAAGUCUGGGGUGAAAUCCUUCGGCUUAACCGGAGAAUUGCCUGAGAUACUGGUGGUCUUGAGGGAGGUAGGGGCACGCGGAACUUCCGGUGGAGCGGUGAAAUGCGUUGAUAUCGGAAGGAACGCCGGUGGCGAAGGCGGCUCACUGGGUCUUUUCUGACGCUGAGAAACGAAAGCUAGGGGAGCAAACGGG